CAGUAGCCGCGGUAAUACGAGGGGGGCAAGCGUUGUUCGGAAUUAUUGGGCGUAAAGGGUGCGUAGGCGGUUUGGCAAGUUUGGUGUGAAAUCUUCGGGCUCAACUCGAAGUCUGCAUCGAAAACUGCCGGGCUUGAGUAUGGGAGAGGUGAGUGGAAUUUCCGGUGUAGCGGUGAAAUGCGUAGAUAUCGGAAGGAACACCUGUGGCGAAAGCGGCUCACUGGACCAUAACUGACGCUGAUGCACGAAAGCUAGGGGAGCAAACAGGAUUAGAUACCCCAGUAGUCCCUGUCUCUUAUAU
rnacentral:rRNA from 1 species